rnacentral:tRNA from 1 species
AGGGGUGUAGCUCAGUGGCAGAGCACUUGCCUAAUAUGUGAGGCCCUAGGUUCCAUCCCCAGCACCACAA